rnacentral:lncRNA from 1 species
AUUGACAAAGGCAUUCAAGCAUUGCGACGACGGAGGCAUUCAAGCAUUGCGACGACGGAGAGCAUUCAAGCAUUGUGUCCUAAUACUGUAAGUUUCACAUUUCCUUUCGUUUUCAAUCCAUCUACAGUAGCUAAUUUGUGUUUCGUGGCUCAAGGCUCUUUGUGGCGGAUUGGGAUUGCGGAGGAACAAGCCUCGCGACCACGCUUUCGGCGUUGGCGAACCCUCGUUUUUGCUUCCGCAACAGAGUUGUGCCUCAUUCUACUGUGAGUUUUCUCGCUUCGUUUCUAUCUUGAUUUUUUUCAUUAGAGUGAGGAGCCAUGGGUAUAACAGCGUCUUCUGGAUCACUAAUACCUAGGUGGAUGCUUAGGUAGUGGAAUGGUUUUGAAAGGUAGUGGAAGAAGAAGCGUUGGGACAAACAUAAGCUUAAGCUAAGCUAACCUCCAGUGUUUUAUAUGGCAUGGUUUUGAUUUAUGGUUAGUCUUCCAGUUGCUUAGAAUGUGUUCUUUUGAUGCUGCAGUCAUGGAAUCUUUGUACCUAUGCAAUUUGGAUUGCUCUAAUGGACUUAGGUUAGGUUGUUAUGUUUUGUUGAAUGUGUGGAAGGUAUAAAUUAAGAAGCCUAAGUUUAUAAGAAGUUUGGCUCUCUUAUUAAUAAAAAAAUAUAGAAUAAUUAUGCAGUAAAAAUCUGCAUAAUUUCCAGCAUUAGCAAUACAAGUAGCAACAUGGCUUUACAAGCAUUACCAUGCCUUUACAGCAAUAUAACACCAGAAUUCCAGCACUGCAUUCGCAUGAGAACAUAUAAAAAAAAAGUGAUUCAACAACAAAAAAUAAAAGACAACAUAAGAGACUAACUAAAGCACUGAAAUGGUCGAACCAAGUAGCAGCAGGGACAGUAACAGUUGAACAUUAGGGAGACAUAAACCAGAACAUAUCUUUCUUUGUAACAAUUUUUCAUUUCUUUGUUCUUCUUUUCUUAUAUAUGUAAUUAUCUUAAAAUGUUUUCCGAAAACUAAGCUCUAAACUUAUUAUUUUUAAAUAAAUUAUGCAAAUUAGUAGAGAGAUUUUUUUAAACAAAUAAUUACAAAAAGUAGAGAUGAUAUAUAUUUUUAUUAUAAGUGAUGCAAAUAUGAUAACUUAUAAUAAUCUACCAGA